rnacentral:lncRNA from 1 species
CACAGCCUCUCACUCUCUCGCUCUCUUUCUGUCUCUUCCUCGCUCCCUCUCUUUCUCUCCUCCCUCUGCCUUCCCAGUGCAUAAAGUCUCUGUCGCUCCCGGAACUUGUUGGCAAUGCCUAUUUUUCAGCUUUCCCCCGCGUUCUCUAAACUAACUAUUUAAAGGUCUGCGGUCGCAAAUGGUUUGACUAAACGUAGGAUGGGACUUAAGUUGAACGGCAGAUAUAUUUCACUGAUCCUCGCGGUGCAAAUAGCUUACCUGGUGCAGGCCGUGAGAGCAGCAGGCAAGUGCGAUGCAGUCUUUAAGGGCUUUUCAGACUGUUUGCUCAAGCUGGGUGACAGCAUGGCCAACUACCCGCAGGGCCUGGACGACAAGACGAACAUCAAGACCGUGUGCACGUAAGUGUCCUCUCUGACCCUGGGUUUCCCUUCUGCUGGCU